CCUACGGGUGGCAGCAGUGAGGAAUUUUGCGCAAUGGGCGAAAGCCUGACACAGCGACGCCGCGUGGGGGAAGAAGGCCUUCGGGUUGUAAACCCCUUUCGUGAGGGAAAAAGCCCUGAGUUUAUCGAAGGGUGAUGGUACCUCAGGAAGAGGCCACGGCUAACUCUGUGCCAGCAGCCGCGGUAAGACAGAGGUGGCAAGCGUUGUUCGGAAUUACUGGGCUUAAAGGGCGUGUAGGCGUCUCAACAAGUCAGAUGUGGAAGCCUUAGGCUUAACGUAAGAAUUGCAUUGGAAACUAUUGGGAUGGAGUGGGACAGGGGAGGGCGGAAUUCCUGGUGUAGCGGUGAAAUGCGUAGAUAUCAGGAGGAAGGCCGGUGGCGAAGGCGGCCCUCAAUGUCUUAACUGACGCUGAGGCGCGAAAGCGGGGGGAGCAAACAGGUUUAGAUCCCCCUGUAGU
rnacentral:rRNA from 1 species